UACGGGGGGGGCAAGCGUUGUUCGGAAUUACUGGGCGUAAAGGGCUCGUAGGCGGCCAACUAAGUCGGAUGUGAAAUCCCCAGGCUCAACUUGGGAACUGCAUCCGAUACUGGAUGGCUUGAAUUCGGGAGAGGGAUGCAGAAUUCCAGGUGUAGCGGUGAAAUGCGUAGAUAUCUGGAGGAAUACCGGUGGCGAAGGCGGCAUCCUGGACCGACAUUGACGCUGAGGAGUGAAAGCUAGGGGAGCAAACGGG
rnacentral:rRNA from 1 species